GAUGAACGCUGGCGGCGUGCUUAACACAUGCAAGUCGAACGAUGAAGCCCAGCUUGCUGGGUGGAUUCGUGGCGAACGGGUGAGUAACACGUGAGUAACCUGCCCUUAACUCUGGGAUAAGCCUGGGAAACUGGGUCUAAUACCGGAUAGGAGCGUCCACCGCAUGGUGGGUGUUGGAAAGAUUUAUCGGUUUUGGAUGGACUCGCGGCCUAUCAGCUUGUUGGUGAGGUAAUGGCUCACCAAGGCGACGACGGGUAGCCGGCCUGAGAGGGUGACCGGCCACACUGGGACUGAGACACGGCCCAGACUCCUACGGGAGGCAGCAGUGGGGAAUAUUGCACAAUGGGCGCAAGCCUGAUGCAGCGCCGCCGCGUGAGGGAUGACGGCCUUCGGGUUGUAAACCUCUUUCAGUAGGGAAGAAGCGAAAGUGACGGUACCUGCAGAAGAAGCACCGGCUAACUACGUG
rnacentral:rRNA from 1 species